AAUGUUAGACAAUGGGGGAAACCCUGAUCUAGCGAUGCCGUGUGUGUGAUGAGGCCUUAGGGUCGUAAAGCACUUUCUCCAGGGAUGAUAAUGACAGUACCUGGUAAAGAAACCCCGGCUAACUCCGUGCCAGCAGCCGCGGUAAUACGGAGGGGGUUAGCGUUGUUUGGAAUUAUUGGGCGUAAAGCGCACGUAGGCGGACUAAUAAGUCAGGGGUGAAAUCCCGGGGCUCAACCCUGGAACUGCCUCUGAUAAUGGUAGUCUUGAGUUUGAGAGAGGUGAGUGGAAUUCCGAGUGUAGAGGUGAAAUUCGUAGAUAUUUGGAGGAACACCACUGGCGAAGGCGGCUCACUGGCUCGCUACUGACGCUGAGGUGCGAAAGCGUGGGGAGCAAACACGAUUAGAUACCCUGGUAGUCCACGCCCUA
rnacentral:rRNA from 1 species